rnacentral:rRNA from 1 species
GUGCCAGCAGCCGCGGUAAUUCAGAGGUGGCAAGCGUUGUUCGGAACCACUGGGCGUAAAGGGCGCGUAGGCGGUGGCGUAAGUUCGUGGUGAAAUCCCCCGGCUCAACCGGGGAAUGGCUGCGAAUACUGCGUUGCUUGAGGGUGAGAGGGGAGAGUGGAACUUCUGGUGGAGCGGUGAAAUGCGUAGAUAUCAGAAGGAACGCCGGAGGCGAAAGCGACUCUCUAGAUCACUCCUGACGCUGAGGCGCGAAAGCUAGGGGAGCAAAAGGGAUUAGAUACCCUGGUAGUCCACGCCGUAAACGAUGAUCACUCGCUGUUGGCGAUACACAGUCAGCGGCUAAGCAAAAGCAUUAAGUGAUCCACCUGGGGAGUACGGCCGCAAGGCUGAAACUCAAAGGAAUUGACGGGGGCCCGCACAAGCGGAGGAACAUGUGGUUUAAUUCGAUGAUACGCGAGGAACCUUACCUGGGCUUAAAUGUAGAGUGCAUGAGAUGGAAACAUUUCUUUUCUUCGGAACUCUUUGCAAGGUGCUGCAUGGUUGUCGUCAGCUCGUGCCGUGAGGUGUCGGGUUAAGUCCCAUAACGAGCGCAACCCUUAUCGUUAGUUGCCAGCGGGUAAUGCCGGGAACUCUAACGAAACUGCCGGUGUAAACCGAGAGGAAGGGUGGGGAUGACGUCAAAUCAGCACGGCCCUUAUGUCCAGGGCUACACACGUGUUACAAUGGCCGGUACAGAGGGCAGCUACCUGGAGACAGGAUGCGAAUCUCGAAAGCCGGUCUCAGUUCGGAUCGGAGUCUGCAACUCGACUCCGUGAAGCUGGAUUCGCUAGUAAUCGCGCAUCAGCCAUGGCGCGGGUGAAUACGUUCCCGGGCCUUGUACACACCGCCCGUCAAGCCAUGGAAGUUGGGGGUACCUGAAGUCCGUAACCGCAAGGAGCGGCCUAGGGUAAAACCAGUGACUGGGGCUAAGUCGUAACAAGGUAGCC